UACGAAGGGAGCUAGCGUUGUUCGGAAUCACUGGGCGUAAAGCGCACGUAGGCGGAUGUGUCAGUCAGGGGGUGAAAUCCCGGAGCUCAACUUCGGAACUGCCUUUGAUACAGCACAUCUGGAGUCCGGAAGAGGUGGGUGGAAUUCCUAGUGUAGAGGUGAAAUUCGUAGAUAUUAGGAAGAACACCGGUGGCGAAGGCGGCAUCCUGGGACCAACACUGACACUGAGGAGCGAAAGCCAGGGGAGCAAACGGGG
rnacentral:rRNA from 1 species